rnacentral:rRNA from 1 species
AACGAACGCUGGCGGCGUGUUUAAGACAUGCAAGUCGAACGGGGUGAAGUUGUAGCAAUACCGCUUCAUCCAGUGGCGCACGGGUGCGUAACGCGUGAGUUACAUGCCCUGCAGUGGGGAAUAGCCCGCCGAAAGGCGGAUUAAUACCCCAUGGUUCCCGCGAGGGUAAAGGUGGCCGCAAGGCUGCCGCUGCAGGAUUGGCUCGCGGCCUAUCAGCUUGUUGCCGGGGUAACGGCCCACCAAGGCGACGACGGGUACCUGGUCUGAGAGGAUGAUCAGGCACACUGGAACUGAGGCACGGUCCAGACACCUACGGGUGGGAGCAGUCGAGAAUAAUUCACAAUGGGCGAAAGCCUGAUGGUGCAACGCCGCGUGGGGGAUGAAGGUCUUCGGAUUGUAAACUCCUGUCAUCGGGGAGUAAGACCUGGGCGUGAAUAGCGCACAGGGUUGAUAGUACCCGAAGAGGAAGGGACGGCUAACUUCGUGCCAGCAGCCGCAGUAAUAC